rnacentral:rRNA from 1 species
AUUGAACGCUGGCGGCAGGCCUAACACAUGCAAGUCGAACGAGUCGCGGACGUGUGAGCCCUUUAUGUGCAACUGCCUGAUGGAGGGGGUUCCCUACUGGAACCGGUAGCUACUACCGCAUACCCUCAGCUGUGCCGAGUUGGGAUUAGUUUGUGGGUGGGGUAACGGCUCACCAAGGCGACGAUCCCUAGCUGGUCUGAGAGGAUGCCCAGCCACACUGGAACUGAGACACGGUCCAGACUCCUACGGGAGGCAGCAGUGGGGAAUAUUGGACAAUGGGCGAAAGCCUGAUGCAGCCAUGCCGCGUGUAUGAAGAAGGCCUUCGGGUUGUAAAGUACUUUCAGCGGGGAGGCGUUACCCGCAGAAGAAGCACCGGCUAACUCCGUGCCAGCCGCCGCGGUAAUUC